AGGUUGUUUCCCGCCCGUCAAAUGCCAGUGGCCUGGAUUGACUGUUGCUGCUGUGCCUGGAGAGCCCAGGAAAUACACUAUGGUGAUGAAAACGACUGUGGCAAUCCAGCAGUCUGCUCUAACUGGAUGAUUGUAAGAGAGUAAAGAAGACAGUGCUGAACUUUGUGAUGGUUUUAUAUUCCAGUAAACACCCAGUAAGACAACAUUGGAGGCAGCAGGGCCCAUAUGGGUAUUGGAGAAGCAAUGGACAAAGUCAGACCCAGCCCAGUGGAUGAGGGCAGGUAGAAGAUGCCCAGAGUGAGUGAGACAACUUCCAGGACUAGAACUGUGCGUGGAGUCCAAACCAGGAGAGUUGGGGGAAAGAGGGCAGUUGGACAUCGUCUUCGGUGAUGGAAUCUUGCCAG
rnacentral:lncRNA from 1 species